UACGUAGGGCGCAAGCGUUGUCCGGAAUUACUGGGCGUAAAGGGCUCGUAGGCGGCCAACUAAGUCAGACGUGAAAUCCCUCGGCUUAACCGGGGAACUGCGUCUGAUACUGGAUGGCUUGAGGUUGGGAGAGGGAUGCGGAAUUCCAGGUGUAGCGGUGAAAUGCGUAGAUAUCUGGAGGAACACCGGUGGCGAAGGCGGCAUCCUGGACCAAUUCUGACGCUGAGGAGCGAAAGCCAGGGGAGCAAACGGG
rnacentral:rRNA from 1 species